AUUGAACGCUGGCGGCAGGCCUAACACAUGCAAGUCGAACGAGUGGCGGACGGGUGAGUAAUGUCUGGGAAACUGCCCGAUGGAGGGGGAUAACUACUGGAAACGGUAGCUAAUACCACAUACAAUCGGAUGUGCCCCGAUGGGAUUCGAUAGUAGGUGGGGUAACGGCUAACCUAGGCGACGAUCCCUAGCUGGUCUGUGAGAAGGACCCGCCACACUGGAGCGGAGACACGGUCCGUACUCCUACGAGAGGCAGCAUGGGUGAAUAUUGGACAGUGGGCGCGAGCCUGAUGCAGCCAGGCGUCGUGUAUGAAGAAGGCCUUGGGUUUGUAAAGUACUUUCAGCGGGUAGGCGUUACUCGCAGAAGAAGCACCGGCUAACUCCGUGCCAGCAGCCGCGGUAAUAC
rnacentral:rRNA from 1 species